UCAUGGUGAUGGUGGUGAGCAUGAUGUUCAUGAUGAUGGUGUUCCUCUUCCUCACUGUCGUCAUCGUCAUCAUCGUCAUCAUCGUCAUCAUCAUGG